UAGUGAAAGGACGUGAACAUAAGUAUGAUCAAAAGCUAGGAAAGAGCAGAUGAACCCAUACCUGUGCUAUAGGAACAUGAUGAAAACAAAAUCUAAAACCAGAUUUGUUGGCUCAAAUGACCUACGGCCUGUAUUUUCCCUGACAAAUUCCAAAUCAUGGCGCUCACUCUGGCUCCUCCCCUAAAAUGGUCAGAACUCCCAAAUCUUCAAGACUUGCUGCUGUUACUUAGGACAUACUAGAAGGAAAAAAAAAUAAAUAAGGGAUCUCCCCUUCUCCAACCAUAGCAGAUCUCUUCCAUUUAAAAGAGGAAUUAAGUAUCAUUUUCUGUAUCCACUUACAAGGGUCUCGUCACAGAUCCCAUCAUCAUUAAUAGCACGUGCCACUCUGGCUAUGGGAGGCUUAGUGCUCAUAUUUGACAGGUGAACUGCAAAUGGUUCUGUCUGGAGUGUCCUACCAGACUUUGCUCUCCAACCCCAAAGUACACAGCUUUCAUACCUCUAAUUAAGUUUCAGCUUCACAUUGAUAACCUAUAUCCCAAACCAUGGAACAAAGACCACCCCCCAGUGCUGUUGAGACUGUUUUCAACACUCAGCCAAUGCGUGAUUUUUUUCCACAAUCAUAUUUGUUUGCAGGCACUAGAGGUCCCUGGUAUUAUUUCCAUAUCUGACAGAAGGUAAGACUGUGGGCACUAAAGCGCUUGUUUUAUAGCACUGUAUGUUAUUAGGCAUGUACUUUGAAAAUACUCUAGGGGUAUAACAAUGACCCACUGUCAUCAGUGCUUGAUCCCUGAACUAGACCUUCCGUAAGGUACAUUAUUAUUCUAUUAUUCUGUGAUUCUAAGAUAAAAUUUUGAAAUGCUACAAGAAAAUAUGGUAUGUUUUACCAAAGGCUAUGUACAAAUGAAACUAUGCAAGGUGUAACAUGAAAACAAACCAAGAGUAAAGAUAGUAUAAUCCCAAAGUAUACAGCAUUUAUUUUAGGACAAUACUCCAGACCUAAAAUUAAAUUUUUAUUAGUGAAACAAUCACUUGAUGACCCAUGUUGAAAACUUAGGAAAUAUAGAUACAUGAAGCUUUUCCUUAAACAACAAAAGUGUACAUGCCACUUUUUUUAGGAUUGCCAACUUUAUUAUAGAAAUUGAAAUUAUCAAAAUUUACUAAUGCAGAAACUUGGAAAAAAGAAAAUCAUGUGCAGUUACACUGCAAUGACACAUAAUCACUAUUAACAUAUAUCUACUCAUUUCCAACUCCAUGAGAUUCUUACAGAAACAUACAUUCUUUAGAAAUCAGGUAUCAAACUGUACUAAAUCAGAAUCUUUUUAGUAAUGUAAUGUAUUUAAACCUACCACAUCUGACUUGUAGUCCAUUUUUAUCUACAGAUGAGGAUUUCUCCUCUCUUCCUAAUCUCUCAGCUCACCAUCUCCUUCCUCCCCCAUUUAAUCUUAACCCCCAAACUCAAUAAAUACAUGAUUUCAAAUAAUUACACAAUGCUAAUCUUAGAUAGAUAUAAUAAAAAAAGUGGCCUUUUCAUCCUGUCCAGUCACUUUGGAAUAAACAAGGAUCCAUAACGCACAUGAAGUUCUUUUUUUUCAUGCUUGGCUUGUAUAAUUUAAUUUCUGUAGUUUCUUUGGCAUGCUCGGAAAUAAACCCACAGACUAGUAAUUUUUUUCCUUCGGGAGAGAACUAUAAAACAAAAUCAGACCUUUUUUUAACCCUUAAAUAAAACGAAGCUUAGACAAAACUGAAAUUACAACACCAGCUUUUUACUUAAGCUAUAGUAAUUCAAUCCUCUAGCCUUACCCACCCGAUACUGAAGGUGUAAUUAUCAUCCCCACUUGCAGAUGAGAAAAUGGAGGCUCAGAGAGGUUACGUAAUAAUAAAACCAAGGUCAUUUAACACAGAAAUGUUGGAACUGGGAUUUGAAUGCAACAGACCCAGUGUCAGAGCAGACCAAAAAGCAGUAUGCCGUGAUGUGUAAGCUAUUUUUUGAACCCGGCCACUUUCCUCGAAAAUUCAAUCUUCUCAUCAUGUUAAAAUGUGUAGUUGAAAGCAAACAACAUUGAUCUUUGUAAAAAGGUACUGACAGAUUUAUUUCUUUGGGAACUAGACGUAUUUUGUCCUUGAGGCCAGAGAAUUGGAGAAAAAUUCGGUUGAAAUCCAGUAAAAUAUUAUAAUUGUCAUUCAAACAAAUCAACCCAUUGGCCUCUUUAAGCUAUUCAAAUUGCUUAUCUUACUAAAAACAGCCAAAAGAUACUCAGACAGAGCAAAUGAAAAUUUGUAAUGAAAAAAUUAAAGGGUUGUAGUAGUUUUAGAUAAGGCUAAAAUUAUACAGAUAAUAAAUGUAAUCUGAAACUACCAGACAGGUCUGACCAUCAUUUCAAAGGAAAGAGCUCCAAAAGAUGUUUCACCACAGUAGGAGAGUUUUAGAACAAAAUUCAGUAUGUGAAAGAUUGCAUCAAACAUAAUUUGUUGCUCUCUUAUAAAAUGUAUGCUUUUCUGUUUUGAAUUUUCUCAUGGCCAUUUCUGAAUAGAAUUUGAGUGACUCAAGGCCUGAAGGACGCUAUUCCUCAAUUCAGAGAGUCAAGAUGAGAAUGUUUUUACAAUCUUUAAUCAGCUCAGAACCUACCUAGUCAAGUUUGGAAGUGGUGAUGAGCCCAGUGAGCUAGUAUCUCUGAGUAGCCCUGCAGCAUUUAUAGCCAGCGCCUUACAUGGCUUCUCCCUUUGCUUGAACAAGCACAACAGGAAAGGGAAGGAAAGACAACCAGAGACAAGGGACAAAAACCAUCAUCCUAGCUCCCCAAACUGCCCUGAUGAGAAUACGUCAGGACAUUCCAGCAAGAGGUUGGUCAAAACUUUUCAAGAUUCUUUAUCAAGAGGGAUGUUGUAGGGAAAAUGGAUGGAGAUACACAAAAGUCACUCACUAUCUCUGUUAUUUCCUUCAUCAAAAGGGCAAGCAUAUGUGGAUCUAACUUCUGAGAAGACAAAGAAUGCCUGUUGAUUGUAAAGUAAGAUACAAAAGCACAUGUUAUAGGCCAGAACAGAGUGGCAUGGUAUGAUAUAUUCGAAGUGCUGAAAGGAAAAAAAAAAAAAAAAACUUCCAACCAAGAAUACUCUCCCCAGCUAAGUAAUCAUCCAGAGUUGAAAGAGAGAUUCCACAGAUCCCAAGCCCCUGGGCUUUCCCCUGAAUGGAACAGAAUUGAGAAACAUGCCUCAUGAGACAUCCCUGCCACCAAAAGAAAAGCUGACUGGGUUAUUG